ACACCGAUACUGAUUACACCGAUACUGAUUACAUUGAUACCGAUACUGAUUACACCGAUACUGAUUGCAUUGAUACUGAUACUGAUUACACAGAUACUGAUUACACCGAUACUGAUUACAUUGAUACCGAUACUGAUUACACCGCUGCUGAUUACACCGAUACCGAUUACAUUGAUACUGAUACCGAUUACACUAAUACCGAUUACACCGAUACUGUUUACACCGAUACUGAUUACACCGAUACUGAUUACACCGAUACUGAUUACACUGAUACUGAUUACACCGAUACUGAUUACACCGAUACUGAUUACACCAAUACUGAUUACACCGAUACUGAUUACACCGAUACUGAUUACACUGAUAGCACUGAUACUGCUAUUGAAGGAGUAAGAUGUUUGAGUUGAGAGAGAUACACCAAGGAGUUUCCAAAACUGCCUCUACUCUCAGGAUCUUUGUCUUGACAACAGAAUAUAUAUUUGGUACGGAUACAUAACAAAACUCACUGGGUGGCUGGUCUAUGGGAAAAUAUCUGAUGUCGAUACCACAGCUCUCAAAUAGGUUCCAAUUGGGAACAAUAUCCCAAUUGUACCAAGUUCCAAUUGGGAUUUGGAAAAGUAAAUGUACUUAAUCCCAUAAGGCCUAUUGAUCUGCAGUGAGGCAUUUAAUUUACAUUGGCACCUUGUUCCCCAACUAGCUUACCUGGUUAAAUAAAGGUGGAAUAAAAAACCUUGGCACGACUCUGAGCGCUGAUGGGAAACUGCAUGCUUUCACAGAACACGAUGACAACACUGUUGGCUUGAACCGAGUCAACUGAUGUGUCUUAACUUGCUUUGUCUGGGAUGACAAACAUCAGGUGAUCACCGAGAAGAAUGAGGGGGUAAAUUAAUCACAAGGACAUGCAAAUUCUCAGCAUUAUGGAUAUUGUUUAUACUGUCCUUCAGAUAUAUUGUUUAUACUGUCCUUCAGAUAUAUUGUUUAUACUGUCCUUCAGAUAUACUGUUUAUACUGUCCUUCAGAUAUAUUGUUUAUACUGUCCUUCAGAUAUAUUGUUAUACUGUCCUUCAGAUAUAUUGUUAUACUGUCCUUCAGAUAUAUUGUUUAUACUGUCCUUCAGAUAUAUUGUUUAUACUGUCCUUCAGAUAUAUUGUUUAUACUGUCCUUCAGAUAUAUUGUUUAUACUGUCCUUCAGAUAUACUGUUUAUACUGUCCUUCAGAUAUAUUGUUUAUACUGUCCUUCAGAUAUAUUGUUAUACUGUCCUUCAGAUAUAUUGUUAUACUGUCCUUCAGAUAUAUUGUUAUACUGUCCUUCAGAUAUACUGUUUAUACUGUCCUUCAGAUAUAUUGGCAGUGUGAACAUGUCCCAAACCUAUAUUUACAGAUAAUGAUUUAAUACAGGUAAAUGCUUUGAAACUCAUUCAUUCUAAGCUAUCAAGCCCCCUGAAACCUGUCAGUCAGUUUGUGUUCUGUUGACAGCUUUGAGCCACAGCGAGCACCAAUUCCACAUUUACACCCAUCAUCCACAUCAGGUGAUCACCAAGUAUUCUGAAGAUUAUAGUUUGUCUGUUUAAUAAAUUUAAAAAAAUAAUACAUCUACUCUUAAGAUGUUGUGGUCACAUGUAGGAGGAAAACAGGGGUUGGAUAGAAAAGGGUUUUUGGAAAACCGCAAAGUGUCCUGAUAGCUGUCAGUCAGGUUCUGUAAUGUUAGCAUUCCUGAGCCACACCCAGUACCACUUCCACAUCCUGGGACUUGCAAGGUUCAUAAGAAUCUACACAGUGGAUAUUUUUAGUGGGGAGUUAAAUAGUUCAAAAUAGUUCUAGAAGCAAUAGAAUCCUACAUCCCAGCAUGGCUAGAACUUUAAUAAGAUACCUUUCUUCCAAAAUAUAUACAAUUAAGAUCGUGACUACUACUCUUCUUUUACAAACUUGUUUUAUUUUUAUUUUUAGAUACUGUCGUCUUUUCUGUGUGUGGUCAUACUAUAUACACUGACAGACAAGUACCAACAGGAUAGUGUCUACUUUUUGCCGUGAGGCAGAAUACGCUGCUGUCAUAACAUACAGGCAACCUCCAUAUCUAUGUAAUUACACUGCUAAAACCUAAAGCAGCGACAAAAUAGCAUUUCAUCCAGUCACCGCCACGUCAGGAUACUGUACCUGAAACAGGGAGACCGUAACAGGUAAUCACCUGAAAUCAGGUUACACCUGUCUAGAACCAACUGGUAUAAAGGAGUGGAUCCACUAGAAAAAUCAACAACAACAGACUAGUUCCACACCCAGCUGUAGCUUUGACAACAAACAAUUUACUUAUCUCGUUUUAUGUCAUCUGGUUAAUCACAAGCAGCUAGCGUAAUAACCCUACAUGGCCACAAACAAAUCAUCUUGAACCAAUCACCUUCCAAAUCAAAUCAAAAUGUUAUUUGUCACAUGCGCCGAAUACAACAGGUGUAUUUACAAGCCCCUUAACCAAUAAUGUAGUUUUAAGAUUUUAAGAAAAUCCCCCCCCCCCCAAAAAAAGAGAUAAGAACAACAAAUAAUCAAAGAAUAAGAGCUAUAUUUUCACAGGUUGCUGUUUAUUGUAAUGAGUCUUGUCCUGAAGGCUUUCCACAUGUUUCGGACUCGGCUAGGCGAACCUAGUGUGCCAUAAUACCAUAAAAGACCUUCGCUUGAAAAAUGAGAAAAGACGGCAAUAGUAUUGUUUGUCCACCUUGAGACGCCGUAGCCAGUAUACAUACACUGCCUCAAAAUAGUCUGAAUUAAUCUAAGAUUAAAACUUUUAAAAAAUGACAGAUUUCUUGAGUUGAUGUUUUGCCGAGGAGAUUUUAGGUCGCACAAUUUUACAUCUAAGAUGUUUUGGUGCAGUAUUUCCCAAGUGAAAAAAAAUGUGCUUUUGGUAUUAAAUUACUGUUAGGGUUAAGCACUCUGGGCUGUGGUGUCUGUGGGUUGUAGGUGAUUACACUGUGUCUGUGGGUUGUAGGUGACUAUUCUGUGGGUUGUAGGUGACUACACUGUCUGUGGGUUGUAGGUGACUAUUCUGUGGGUUGUAGGUGACUACACUGUGUCUGUGGGUUGUAGGUGACUAUUCUGUGGGUUGUAGGUGACUACACUGUGUCUGUGGGUUGUAGGUGACUAUUCUGUGGGUUGUAGGUGACUACAUUGUCUGUGGGUUGUAGGUGACUACACUGUCUGUGGGUUGUAGGUGACUACACUGUUUGUGGGUUGUAGGUGACUACUCUGUGUCUGUGGGUUGUAGGUGACUACACUGUCUGGGUUGUAGGUGACUAUUCUGUGUCUGGGUUGUAGGUGACUACACUGUUUGUGGGUUGUAGGUGACUACUCUGUGUCUGUGGGUUGUAGGUGACUACACUGUGUCUGUGGGUUGUAGGUGACUACUCUGUGUCUUUGGGUUGUAGGUGACUACACUGUGGGUUGUAGGUGACUACACUGUGGGUUGUUGGUGACUACACUGUCUGGGUUGUAGGUGACUACACUGUGUCUGUGGGUUGUAGGUGACUACACUGUGUCUGUGGGUUGUAGGUGACUACACAGUGUCUGUGGGUUGUAGGUGACUACACUGUCUGUGGGUUGUAGGUGACUACUCUGUGUCUUUGAGGCAAAAUGUGCUGACUGUGAUAUGUGGUUGUCCCACCUAGCUAUCUGGAGAUGAAUGUACUGACUAUGACUGGUCCACCUACCCAUCUGGAGAUGAAUGUACUAACUGUGACUGGUCCACCUAGCUAUCUGAUGAAUGUACUGACUAUGACUGGUCCACCUACCUAUCUGAUGAAUGUACUGACUAUGACUGGUCCACCUACCUAUCUGGAGAUGAAUGUACUAACUGUGACUGGUCCACAUAGCUAUCUGGAGAUGAAUGUAUGGACUAUGACUGGUCCACAUAGCUAUGUGGUAUAGCUUGUGGUUCUAUAGUCUGUCCUGUUGUCAGUCAGUGGUUCUAUAGUCUGUCCUGUUGUCAGUCAGUGGUUCUAUAGUCUGUCCUGUUGUCAGUCAGUGGUUCUAUAGUCUAUAGGUUGGGAACCCCCAGGCGUUUCAGAUUUGUUUUAGCCCUGAGCUGGUUCACCCUUUAGAGUGUGUGUGUGCGUAUGUGUGUGUGUGUGUGUGUGUGUGUGUGUGUGUGUGUGUGUGCGUAUGUGUGUGCGUAUGUGUGUGCGUAUGUGUGUGUGUGUGUGCGUAUGUGUGUGCGUAUGUGUGUGUGUGUGUGUGUGUGUGUGCGUGCGCGUGUGUGUGUGUGUGUGUGCACGCGUGCGUGUUAUGCUGGGUGGAACAGCACACAGCCUGACAGAGGUAGGCCUUUCUAGCUGCCGUUCUCGAUUGCAAAAUACCAAAUAAAUAUUUUGCUUCCAACAGCCUCUUUCUCCCAUCUGUGUCACAAACCAUCCCAGUAUGUGAAGCUAACGACUACCUCUUCUUUUCAAGAGCAACGUUAAUAAAAAUAUAGAUUUUCUCUCUGUGGAGAAACAAGUACUUCACAGAUUCUGCUAAUGCCUGCUCCAAACCGUCUCUAGUGACUGCUCCUAACCGUCUCUAGUGACUGC
ensembl:lncRNA